CGCCACAGGGGGGCACGAGGAUCCGGCGACCUCCUGUCAAGGAUUCCUUCGUCGCAUACCGCCUUCUACUUCGUCGAGGUGACAUCGCACCAAGACGAGAUUUAAUCGCACGACGUCGAGGAACGUGGCACACCAAGCCGAUCGACCAACCAACCAACCAACCAACAAACCAACCAAACAACCAACGUGCUAGAACGUCCUGAAACUCGAGGCUUGAACUUCGAAACCGAUUCCGUAUCCUUUGGACAUGUCCAACGUCGUUUAACAUGACCGUUCAAAUACCGUUGACGUUUGGACAAUGACGCUUACUCGAUCUCACGAGCUCGACAAGCGUGACUCGACGGGAUGAGAGGAAGCAUUAAAGUCGUUCGAUUCAGUAUCAAAAGGAAUGAGAGAAUGAGGCGAGAGAUCUAUGGUAGUACAUAAGAUGUAAGUACUUACAUACUUACUUAUUUACUUACUUACUUACUUACUCGUAUUGCUAUAGUUGCUGCUGUAUUGA
rnacentral:lncRNA from 1 species